AUUGAACGCUGGCGGCAUGCCUUACACAUGCAAGUCGAACGGUAACAGGUCUUCGGAUGCUGACGAGUGGCGAACGGGUGAGUAAUACAUCGGAACGUGCCUAGUAGUGGGGGAUAACUACUCGAAAGAGUGGCUAAUACCGCAUGAGAUCUACGGAUGAAAGCAGGGGGUCGCAAGACCUUGCGCUACUAGAGCGGCCGAUGGCAGAUUAGGUAGUUGGUGGGAUAAAAGCUUACCAAGCCGACGAUCUGUAGCUGGUCUGAGAGGACGAUCAGCCACACUGGGACUGAGAAACGGCCCAGACUCCUACGGGAGGGAGCAGUGGGGAAUUUUGGACAAUGGGCGCAAGCCUGAUCCAGCAAUGCCGCGUGCAGGAUGAAGGCCUUCGGGUUGUAAACUGCUUUUGUACGGAACGAAAAGCCCCGGGUUAAUACCCUGGGGUCAUGACGGUACCGUAAGAAUAAGCACCGGCUAACUACGUGCCAGCCGCCGCCGUAC
rnacentral:rRNA from 1 species